AUUUAGUUGGGCACUCUAAUGAGACUGCCGGUGAUAAACCGGAGGAAGGUGGGGACGACGUCAGAUCAUCAUGCCCCUUAUGACCUGGGCAACACACGUGCUACAAUGGGAAGUACAACGAGUCGCAAACCGGCGACGGUAAGCUAAUCUCUUAAAACUUCUCUCAGUUCGGACUGGAGUCUGCAACUCGACUCCACGAAGGCGGAAUCGCUAGUAAUCGCGAAUCAGCAUGUCGCGGUGAAUACGUUCCCGGGUCUUGUACACACCGCCCGUCAAAUCAUGGGAGUCGGAAGUACCCAAAGUCGCUUGGCUAACUUUUAGAGGCCGGUGCCUAAGGUAAAAUCGAUGACUGGGAUUAAGUCGUAACAAGGUAGCCGUAGGAGAACCUGCGGCUGGAUCACCUCCUUUCUAAGGA
rnacentral:rRNA from 1 species